UUAGCCCUAAACCCAGAUAAUUUUUUAAACAAAAUUAUUCGCCAGAGUACUACUAGCAAUAGCCUGAAACUCAAAGGACUUGGCGGUGCUUCAUAUCCCUCUAGAGGAGCCUGUCCUAUAAACGAUAAACCCCGAUAGACCUUACCAACCCUAGCUAAUACAGCCUAUAUACCGCCAUCCUCAGCAAACCCUGAUAAAGGAAAUAUAGUAAGCAAGAUUGUUAAAAUACAAAAACGUUAGGUCAAGGUGUAGCUUAUGAGUUGGAAAGAGAUGGGCUACAUUUUCUCAAAACAGAAAAAAAAACGAACAUUCUUAUGAUAUUAAGAGUUAAAGGAGGAUUUAGUAGUAAGCUAAGAAUAGAGAGCUUGGCUGAAUCAGGCCCUGAAGCACGC
rnacentral:rRNA from 1 species